UACGAAGGGGGCAAGCGUUGUCCGGAUUCAUUGGGUUUAAAGGGUGCGUAGGCGGCUUAUUAAGUCAGUGGUGAAAGCCGGCGGCUCAACUGCCGAACUGCCAUUGAUACUGAUAAGCUUGAGUAUGGUCGAGGUAGGCGGAAUUUAUGGUGUAGCGGUGAAAUGCAUAGAUACCAUAAAGAACACCGAUAGUGAAGACAGUUUACCAGGCUACAACUGACGCUGAGGCACGAAAGCAUGGGGAUCGAACAGG
rnacentral:rRNA from 1 species